CGCCAACACCAGGCAUCAAAGCUGUCAGCCUCUCAGAUAUCACCUUGGUGUGGCACUAGAGCAGCGAGUGAAGGAUCAACAAGGAGAUGAAAGAUCGCAUCAUUACUACACAUUACUACAGCACCUGGAUUAGUCUUUUGUCUCCAUAAAAGAAUAGCAGAACAGCAGAAUCAAGAGAGAAGCAGUGACGGAAACCAGAAAGGUGGCGCUUUUCACUAGGCGCAUCAUGAGACGUAGCCAGAGUGUCCAUGAGCAUUUUGAUAAAGGAAAAGGAGCAAAAAUUCUUACCCAAAGUAGGACAGGGAAGAGGACACCUACAUACUUCCACAGACUGGCCCUGGACACUGUUAUCACCAGCAAAGGCAGUCUCGUUCUACUAAAUGGACCUAAUGCUAUUGAGGUUCACAAGCCCAGGAAAUUGAGCCAGCUGGUGAAUGGAGUCCAGCUGACUGAUGUUUACCUGCCAGACAUCACAGAAAAGACAUCAAACCUGCAAGCAGCGAGAGUAAAUCUCAGCCAUUCCUGUCCAUAUGAGCACAGCAGCAGACGCCGC
ensembl:lncRNA